rnacentral:rRNA from 1 species
GACGAACGCUGGCGGCGUGCUUAACACAUGCAAGUCGAACGGUGAAAGCGGAGCUUGCUCCGCUGGAUCAGUGGCGAACGGGUGAGUAACACGUGGGCAACCUGCCCCAGACUUCGGGAUAACUCCUCGAAAGAGGUGCUAAUACCGGAUACGAAGCCCCCAGGCAUCUGGGGGCUGGGAAAGUUUUUCGGUCUGGGAUGGGCCCGCGGCCUAUCAGCUUGUUGGUGAGGUAACGGCUCACCAAGGCGACGACGGGUAGCCGGCCUGAGAGGGCGACCGGCCACACUGGGACUGAGACACGGCCCAGACUCCUACGGGAGGCAGCAGUGGGGAAUAUUGCACAAUGGGAGCAAGCCUGAUGCAGCAACGCCGCGUGAGGGAUGACGGCCUUCGGGUUGUAAACCUCUUUUAGUAGGGAAGAAGCGAAAGUGACGGUACCUGCAGAAAAAGCACCGGCUAACUACGUGCCAGCCGCCGCCGUAA